rnacentral:tRNA from 1 species
CGGAAUGUAGCGCAGCUUGGUAGCGCGUUCGCUUGGGGUGCGAGAGGUCGUCGGUUCAAAUCCGGCCAUUCCGA